rnacentral:lncRNA from 1 species
UUCUUACCUUUGUUUCCCCAGCCCUAGGGUUGGUGGUUUCUUCCUGCAGGUACCAUCUCUAUGAUCUCAGCUCUUCCCUCUUACUUCUCCAAUCCUCCAGUGCCCUAUAUUAAAUUCUCUCUGUUACGAUAACUAGUCUAGUUUUUGUUUUUCUAUCUGGACCCUUAGGUCUGACUGUUUACUAUGUGCUUCCCACAACUUUUGCUGCCUUGGACCCAGUUCUGACUUGGCUGUUUGAGGGGAAGCAGUUGGUGAGUCAAGCAGACACUGUCAGCUGACUUAAUUGGCACCAGAGCUUCACCAACGUGAAGACGGACUCCUUGUGGAGGCACCAGCUGCCCUGCAGAGGUGGAGGAACUGAUGCUGUUGCCUUGUAAUGCUUGUUCUGAUGCCUGCUGCCACAUGUUCAAUCCCUAUCAUCACCUUCAGUGCCUGUGUCAAACAUGACCUCCUCCAGGUUCAUGGAAAUCUAACAGGUCUUUGGAAAUUAUCUAGAGGCCUCCUCAUUUUAUCGUUGUGAAACUGAAGCAUAGACUUCAAUGCCUUCUCAUGGUCACGUGUCUGGAGAAUCAUAUCUUGCACUUGGACUCAGGUUCCUGGACCUCCAUCCCAGGUGUCCUGCCCUGACAAAUGAGUGAGCGAGUGAGUGAGCAGACACGCCUUGGAAAGGGCCAGUAGGUCAUUCCCAGAACCACAGCUGGCUUUGGGAG